rnacentral:ncRNA from 19 species
CCCUUAUCAAGAGAGGCGGAGGGAACAGACCCUGUGAUGCCCGGCAACCUGCGGUUUGCAAGGUGCCAAUUUCUGCGGGAAAACCGGAAGAUGAGGU